rnacentral:lncRNA from 1 species
CUGCCAUCCAGGAAUGACUUUCAGUCAUGCUGCCAUCUCUUUCUUUGUAAAGCACCAACACUGAAAGAAGUACUAAAGAAAUAAGGCUCCUUUCAAAGAAGAGUUUUAUGCAAAUGUUUUCUCCAUCCAGCAGAAAAAGGGAUUUAUAGAACAAAGUUUGGGGCUCGCGUCUACCUGCUGGAUUUCCAUCUCCACAUGAGGCCUUCUGCCACUCCAGGGUCUGUUGCUGUCUGGGGAGAGCUCAGGGCUGGCCGCUAGCCCUCUCUAGCAGCUGUACGAGCUCCUGCGCAAAGGAAAGUGUUUUGUGGUGGCCACCAAUCAGAGGCAGAAACGAGGCCACAGAGCCUAGAGAAAAGACCCAAGGUGAAGAAGCACAGUCUGUGGUUGAGCAACCAGAGCUGCGGCAGGCUCUGGGAGGUCCCUUCUCCAGCGGUGAGAGCUAUGGUAUGGAGAGCCACACUCUGCAAAACAGGAAGAUGGCCAAAUGCAGAGCCUCACGGACCUUCCCUGAUUUUGAUCCUUGCAACUAAAUGAAAAUCACAGCGCCAAAGAGAACCGAAGGUAUGCUGAAGCAAAAGUGAACACAACUGAAAUGCAAGGAAGGUGCCACAAGUUGGAGUCAGCCUCCAGCGCUACACAGAGGUGGUCAUUGCAGACAAGCUUGUGAUUACUUAAACUUUGGUGAGGGCUAUCUCACUGUGCCAUGUCAGAGAUGAUUGAGCAUAUUAGCAGAGGACUUGCCUAAACAUAGAUGGCGCAACAGUUUAACUAAUCAUUAAACGGUUAAUUUUAAAGCUGUAGCUCUUAAGCAGCGUAGCUGCUUUCUGUAAGCAGUCCGUAGGUAUCUGCAUAGACAAAACUCCACUGAUUUUAGAACAGUGACAAGCAGCUGGCAAGUGUCACCUCCAAAUCCACAGCAGCUCAAACCAGAACAGCAUGUCUGUCUGUGCCAUAAAACAGGAGACUCUCCCUGACCAAAAGCCUGUUUGUCUCACCUGUGCCUGCAGAUUCAGUAGUGAAAAAAAAAAAAAAAAACAGUGACAGAUUCUCAGAGUCCUCAAAACUUUUCAUUCCUUACAGUUAUUAAGGGAUUUGACCUUCAUAAUCACGCUGUAAUAGAGAAAGCAUGCAUUCUUAUUUUACAAACUGUCAACAGAUCUACCUUAAGUAACUAGAUUAAGAUCAUGCAGAAAGUUGUGGAUGAACUGGUAAUUUUAGUGCAGGCCAAUGGAGUGCAGGCCUGGCUCUCCGUUCAGUGACCAGCUGCCUGCCUGAAGGAAUAAAGGGCAAAUUUGCAUCUUCUAAGUGCCUACG